GUCCAGGGGCGGGAAUCGAACCCACAACCUUCCGCUUACCGGGCAGAUGCCAUGUCCACUAGGCUACCCUGGA